UCUUACAGGUAAUUGGGUUUCUGCGGCCCUAGACACAUAAUGAUUGGAAAUCACGGUACCAAUUCUAUUUGCCCGUCACUGUCUGCGGGGGCCAAGCAUGAAGAGCCGGGAAGAAUCACUCGGCAUGCUAGGAACGAUUACUGGCUUGAAGUUCAAGAGCCUGCGAAGACAGUGUUGAUUGUGUCUCUCCUGUCUGACACUCAGACAGAAACAGAGAAUGAUGAGCAACUUUGAGGAAGAAUUUCAUAAAGGACUUUAGGACAAGAAAUCUCGAAGCUUCGAAUAGUGAUCAUGAGAAUAGUGACCUGGAGAGGUGUUAUCCAGGUUUGGCAAUGGGUCCUUUCUUAUGACUGCCAACACGAAAGAAGUUCAACUCAAAAGCUGAGGAGGGAAUAAAACACUGACUCUAUGCCUUGCAAACUGUGAAGUAGGAAAAUUUUGAGCUCUUCCCUUAUCAUUUCAUAGAGCAUCUAUGUUUGAGAACUAAUAUUUGUCCUUUGGAGGUGUGUGUGUGUGUGUGUGUGUGUGUGUGUUUGAGCACUCUGUGUGUCCAUGUACCCACGUGCAAUUAUUGGAUAAAUCAAGAGACAGGACUGACUCCCAGUGGAGGUAAGGUCUUAAAAGAGAUCAAUUGCCUGGAAAUCCCUCUUCCACUCCCUCACCUGCCCUUAAUUCUUCCGAAGUUCCUGGGAAAUCAAGGGCUGUCAUUGUCUUUUCUAUGGAAGCCUUCAAGAAGCAACUGAAUUAGGAGCCACUUAGCUU